CGGCACGGGUGAGUAACACGUAAGUAAUCUACCUUCGAGUGGGGAAUAACGUCCGGAAACGGACGCUAAUACCGCAUAAUGCAGCGGCACCUAAUGGUGACGGUUGUUAAAGGAGCAAUUCGCUUGAAGAGGAGCUUGCGGCAGAUUAGCUAGUUGGUAAGGUAACGGCUUACCAAGGCUACGAUCUGUAACCGGUCUAAGAGGACGGUCGGUCACACUGACACUGAAUAACGGGUCAG
rnacentral:rRNA from 1 species